rnacentral:rRNA from 1 species
UACAGAGGUCCCAAGCGUUGUUCGGAUUCACUGGCGUAAAGGGUGCGUAGGCGGUCGGGUAAGUCUGAUGUGAAAUCUCACAGCUUAACUGUGAAACUGCAUUGGAUACUAUCCGGCUCGAGGAAUGGAGGGGAGACUGGAAUACUUGGUGUAGCAGUGAAAUGCGUAGAUAUCAAGUGGAACACCAGUGGCGAAGGCGAGUCUCUGGACAUUUCCUGACGCUGAGGCACGAAAGCCAGGGAGCAAACGGG